rnacentral:sRNA from 1 species
CAGGAAUUCAAAACCAGCCUGGGCAAUAUAGUGAGACCAUGUCUCCGCCACCCUCCAAAAAUUAAAAAAUUAGCGGAGCAUGGUGGUGCAUGCCUGUAGUUCCGGCUACUCGGGGGGCUGAGGUGGGAGGAUUGCUUGAGCCAGAGGUAGAAGUUGCAGUGAGCUGAUAUCACGCCACCGCACUCCAUCCUAGGUAACAGAGCAAGACCCAGUCUCAAAAUAAAUAAAUAAAUAAAAUGAACACAGGUACUGAAUGACUAGGAAACAGGAAAGUGAAAUUCCCAAAACACCAGACCAUGCCCCAUCCAGGACCUUCUAUUUAUAUACUGUGAACAUCCUGUCAGCUGCCCGAAUGUUGUUGCACAGGUGCUACAAG